GAUGAACGCUGGCGGCGUGCCUAAUACAUGCAAGUCGAGCGAACAGACGAGGAGCUUGCUCCUCUGACGUUAGCGGCGGACGGGUGAGUAACACGUGGAUAACCUACCUAUAAGACUGGGAUAACUUCGGGAAACCGGAGCUAAUACCGGAUAAUAUAUUGAACCGCAUGGUUCAAUAGUGAAAGACGGUUUUGCUGUCACUUAUAGAUGGAUCCGCGCCGCAUUAGCUAGUUGGUAAGGUAACGGCUUACCAAGGCAACGAUGCGUAGCCGACCUGAGAGGGUGAUCGGCCACACUGGAACUGAGACACGGUCAAGACUCCUACGGGAGGCAGCAGUAGGGAAUCUUCCGCAAUGGGCGAAAGCCUGACGGAGCAACGCCGCGUGAGUGAUGAAGGUCUUCGGAUCGUAAAACUCUGUUAUUAGGGAAGAACAAAUGUGUAAGUAACUAUGCACGUCUUGACGGUACCUAAUCAGAAAGCAACGGCUAACUACGUG
rnacentral:rRNA from 1 species